CCAAGAUUAUGUUGUGUGCUAUGCUUUCUGGAGUUGUUAUACUCCCUCUGAUAUUGUUCCUUGAAUGCCAUUAUGAGUACAAGUCAAUGGCAAGUUCUGAAAAAGACUCUGACAUGAUGAACAAUUCUUCAAUACCCCCAGCCCAAUUAGGCCUUAGCCCCUCAUCUAGCAUUCGUCACACACGCCCCCUCAAGAACCUUUCUCCACCACCUUUCUAUCAGCAUGCAAUAUGCAAUCAUUCAUUCACUGAACGCAUUUGGAUGAAUUGGACAAAUAGUAACCCUUAUAAGUACCAGUUACCCAUAUGGAAUGUGUCCACAGCUAAUGAAACCGAUGCAUUAUGUUUGUUUGAAGGUUCACAGAAAAUUGUUAGAUCUUAUAACGCAGAAAUGUGCACAGUUAAGGUUGCAUAUCAAUGUAAACAGACAGGCCUUAUUACUUUUAAUAAUGAUUAUAUAACUGGUAUCAUUAAUUGGAAAAAGGGACAAAUGUUAGUCAUUAUGAACGACACUACAAUUGAGAACUAUACACUACCUUAUAUUUUUACACCUUAUUACUGUCCUUUAUUCUCUACCAUAGAACCAAAAGUCAACAACGACACACACACACACACCUAUUUCGUCCACAUGUAUUAAUACAACUGCCUUCUUACAAGCUGUACAUGUGUCAUUAAACGUCACUACUCUUGUUGUAACAUUAUGUAACACAACAAACAAAAGGCAGAAAAGGGAAUGGUAUGACACACUGUUAGAUGGUGC